UGGAGAUACCAGCAUCUGGGAUUUGACAAGUGCUCUCAUUUCUUUUCCCUUUUUGCUAUGAUCUGUUAAAAGACAUCUGAUAGUGACACUUCUGAAACUACUUGAUGUCUGUGACUUUUGCACCACUUCCUGAUAAAGUUUCAA